GACGAACGCUGGCGGCGUGCUUAACACAUGCAAGUCGAACGGAAAGGCCCUGCUUUUGUGGGGUGCUCGAGUGGCGAACGGGUGAGUAACACGUGAGUAACCUGCCCUUGACUUUGGGAUAACUUCAGGAAACUGGGGCUAAUACCGGAUAGGAGCUCCUGCUGCAUGGUGGGGGUUGGAAAGUUUCGGCGGUUGGGGAUGGACUCGCGGCUUAUCAGCUUGUUGGUGGGGUAGUGGCUUACCAAGGCUUUGACGGGUAGCCGGCCUGAGAGGUUGACCGGCCACAUUGGGACUGAGAUACGGACCAGACUCCUACGGGAGGCAGCAGUGGGGAAUAUUGCACAAUGGGCGGAAGCCUGAUGCAGCAACGCCGCGUGCGGGAUGACGGCCUUCGGGUUGUAAACCGCUUUCGCCUGUGACGAAGCGUGAGUAACGGUAAUGGGUAAAGAAGCACCGGCUAACUACGUG
rnacentral:rRNA from 1 species